ACAAUGGGCGCAAGCCUGAUCCAGCCAUUCCGCGUGAGUGAAGAAGGCCUUCGGGUUGUAAAGCUCUUUCGCAAGGGAAGAAAACUUACUUUCUAAUAAAGAGUGAGGCUGACGGUACCUUGAUAAGAAGCACCGGCUAACUACGUGCCAGCAGCCGCGGUAAUACGUAGGGUGCGAGCGUUAAUCGGAAUUACUGGGCGUAAAGCGUGCGCAGGCGGUUUGGCAAGUCAGACGUGAAAUCCCCGAGCUCAACUUGGGAACUGCGUUUGAAACUGCCAGACUAGAAUAUGUCAGAGGGGGGUAGAAUUCCACGUGUAGCAGUGAAAUGCGUAGAGAUGUGGAGGAAUACCAAUGGCGAAGGCAGCCCCCUGGGAUAAUAUUGACGCUCAUGCACGAAAGCGUGGGGAGCAACCAAGAGUAGAUNCCCUGGUAGUCCNCGCCCUNACCGAUUCUCUAUAGGUGUUGGUGGAGUAAAAUCCAUGAGUAACGCAAGCCUAACGCGUGAAAUAGUCCGCCUGGGGAGUACGGUCGCAAGAAUUAAAAAUCAAAGGAAUUGACGGGGGCCCGCACAAGCGGUGGAUUAUGUGGAUUAAUUCGAUGCAACGCGAAAAACCUUACCUGGCCUUGACAUGCCACUAACGAAGCAGAGAUGCGUUAGGUGCCCGAAAGGGAAAGUGGACACAGGUGCUGCAUGGCUGUCGUCAGCUCGUGUCGUGAGAUGUUGGGUUAAGUCCCGCAACGAGCGCAACCCUUGCCAUUAAUUGCCAUCAUUUAGUUGGGCACUUUAAUGGGACUGCCGGUGACAAACCGGAGGAAGGUGGGGAUGACGUCAAGUCCUCAUGGCCCUUAUGGCCAGGGCUUCACACGUAAUACAAUGGUCGGUACAGAGAGUUGCCAAGCCGCGAGGUGGAGCUAAUCUCAGAAAGCCGAUCGUAGUCCGGAUUGUUCUCUGCAACUCGAGAGCAUGAAGUCGGAAUCGCUAGUAAUCGCGGAUCAGCAUGUCGCGGUGA
rnacentral:rRNA from 1 species